rnacentral:rRNA from 1 species
UACGUAGGGUGCGAGCGUUGUCCGGAAUUAUUGGGCGUAAAGGGCUCGUAGGCGGUUUGUCGCGUCGGGAGUGAAAACUCAGGGCUUAACCCUGAGCCUGCUUCCGAUGCGGGCAGACUAGAGGUAUGCAGGGGAGAACGGAAUUCCUGGUGUAGCGGUGAAAUGCGCAGAUAUCAGGAGGAACACCGGUGGCGAAGGCGGUUCUCUGGGCAUUACCUGACGCUGAGGAGCGAAAGUGUGGGGAGCGAACAGG